rnacentral:rRNA from 1 species
CCUUCGGGAACUCUGACACAGGUGCUGCAUGGCCGUCGUCAGCUCGUGUCGUGAGAUGUUGGGUUAAGUCCCGUAACGAGCGCAACCCUUGUCCUUAGUUACCAGCACGUGAUGGUGGGCACUCUAAGGAGACUGCCGGUGACAAACCGGAGGAAGGUGGGGAUGACGUCAAGUCCUCAUGGCCCUUACGGGCUGGGCUACACACGUGCUACAAUGGUGCGCACAGAGGGCUGCAAACCCGCGAGGGGGAGCCAAUCUCACAAAACGCAUCGUAGUCCGGAUCGCAGUCUGCAACUCGACUGCGUGAAGUCGGAAUCGCUAGUAAUCGCGAAUCAGAAUGUCGCGGUGAAUACGUUCCCGGGCCUUGUACACACCGCCCGUCACACCAUGGGAGUGGGUUGCACCAGAAGUAGCUAGUCUAACCCUCGGGAGGACGGUUACCACGGUGUGAUUCAUGACUGGGGUGAAGUCGUAACAAGGUAGCCGUAGGGGAACCUGCGGCUGGAUCACCUCCUU